rnacentral:rRNA from 1 species
UACGUAGGGUGCAAGCGUUAAUCGGAAUUACUGGGCGUAAAGCGUGCGCAGGCGGUAAUGUAAGACAGUUGUGAAAUCCCCGGGCUCAACCUGGGAACUGCAUCUGUGACUGCAUUGCUGGAGUACGGUAGAGGGGGAUGGAAUUCCGCGUGUAGCAGUGAAAUGCGUAGAUAUGCGGAGGAACACCGAUGGCGAAGG